UACGGAGGGUGCAAGCGUUAUCCGGAUUCACUGGGUUUAAAGGGUGCGUAGGCGGACUUUUAAGUCAGGGGUGAAAUCCCGGGGCUCAACCCCGGAACUGCCUUUGAUACUAUUGGUCUUGAAUGUUGUGGAGGUGGGCGGAACGGGUCAUGUAGCGGUGAAAUGCAUAGAUAUGACCCGGAACACCGAUUGCGAAGGCAGCCCGCUACGCAACGAUUGACGCUGAGGCACGAAAGCGUGGGGAUCAAACAGG
rnacentral:rRNA from 1 species